rnacentral:rRNA from 1 species
AGUGAACGCUGGCGGCGUGCCUAAUACAUGCAAGUCGAACGGAGUGGCGCACGGGUGAGUAAUAUAUAGCUAAUCUGCCCCUUGCUGGGGGACAACAGUUAGAAAUGAUUGCUAAUACUCCAUAGCAAGGGAUGAGACUAUAUCGUAUCAGCUAGUCGGUGGGGUAACGGCCGACCGAGGCUAUGACGCGUAACUGGUCUGAGAGGAUGAUCAGUGAAAUUGGAAGUGAGACACUAGCCGCAGACCUACGGGAGGGAGCAGUAGAGGAAAUCACCCAAUGGGCGAAAGCCUGGCGCAGCAACGGCGCGUGGAAGAUGACAAUUUUCGGAGCAUAGACUCCUUUUGUUAGGGAAUCGGUACCUAACGAAUAAGCACCGGCUAACUCCGUGCCAGCAGCCGCGGUAAUUC